rnacentral:rRNA from 1 species
CACGUAGGGUGCGAGCGUUGUCCGGAAUUAUUGGGCGUAAAGAGCUCGUAGGCGGCUUUGCAAGUCGGGUGUGAAAGCCCUCAGCUCAACUGAGGAAGUGCGCCCGAAACUGCAGAGCUUGAAUACCGGAGAGGAUGGCGGAAUUCCCCAAGUAGAGGUGAAAUUCGUAGAUAUGGGGAGGAACACCGGUGGCGAAGGCGGCCAUCUGGACGGCUAUUGACGCUGAGACGCGAAAGCGUGGGGAGCAAACAGG